rnacentral:lncRNA from 1 species
UGAGAGGCGGUCCAAGCCCUGGUGGUAUUCAGUAGAGAAAGAGCUGCUGUGUGCGGGACACCAUUGAGACAGUAAUUACCACUGCCAGGGCAAUGCAGCUGUCAAGGAGAGCUGCAGAAUCUGUCGGUGGAGCCUUUGAGGCUGAUCUGCUGUUGUUCUCUGCUCAAAGCAGGGCCAAGUACCAGCGGUCCCUUCUAACCUUCACUUGUUUAGUGGUUUGAAACAAUUACUGCUGAAUCUGUAUCACAAGUGGCAAUUACACAAUCAUCGGAACUGCUUGUUCCUCCCUUUGCACCAGUUUCCAUGUAUCAUUUCACCUCCUGCCGCUGUUGGAACAGCCAAGAAAACAAUCCUGGCAUACAGCUGAGGUUCCACUAUUUGCAAAUCUGUAACGUCUUUAUUCUAAGACAGUUACACUAAAAAUAUUAGUAAGAUCACCUUCACAGUUCCAAGCAGGAGUCUCACUUGGCCAUAUCAAUGAGACUCUGGAGAGAGGUUGGCACCCAGGUCUUUUCUCCUUGUACAAAUACAACACCUCUGUCAAUGUAAAUCACAAUCCGUCCAAACGUAUACAACUGUUUCCCUUCGUGUCGCUUCCCGAUCACAGGCAUGAAAACGAUGUUGUGUUCCUCUGCUUUUGUCUGAAUCAGGUCCUUAAAAUUCAUUGGCACAGAGCUGGCAGCCAUGCCUAUGCCUCGCUGAGCCAUGUUCUCGGCCUCUCGCCUCUCCUGCAUGGCUUCGUACUGGAAGUCUUUCCUCCUCUCUGUGUGAGUAAGGCACAAUGUUUUUGACCAUGAAAGCCUCCCAUGACCCGGGUGUGAACACAUCCUUCCAGGGCUGAAGGAUAAGUUUGGCUGAGGAGUCACUGGGAUGCCAUUUCUGCAGAGCGUUUGCCAGCUUGUUUCUGAUGGGAGAAUAAAGUGGUUCCAAUCGUGCCUGCAUCAGGGGAAGCCAGGGAUGGAUCCAGGAAUGGAUUGGGACUGUGUCAGUCAAAGGAUUCCAGUUUUCAACCUUAAGGCAAAACACAGAAGAGAUUUAAUUUUCUAUUAGCACAAAGUCUUCCCAGAUGCAAAUAACCCCCUAACUCCAAAAUACAUUGACAAAGGCAACAAACUGGUAUUGUGGAAGCUGCAGUUGACUAAAAUUCAAAUAGUGAUUCAAAAUAAGGUUUCAUUCUAGUACAGCUCUUUUAACUGACCUCUUUCUGUAGCUUGGGGAAGAUAAGCUGAUCCAGAAUGUUAUCCAGUAUCCACACAGGAAUGAUGUGUACCCAACUAUCCAGGAAAUCCACCAUCGAUCCACAGUUCCUUGGCUGCCACUGUGCCACUAUGUUUCUGACAUAUGGCAUCCAGAUUUCCCACAUCAGUCUGGAAAAA